rnacentral:SRP_RNA from 1 species
GCCUGGCGUGGUGGUGCACGCCUGUAAUCCCAGCUACUCGGGAGGCCGAGGCAGGAGAAUCGCUUGUGCCCAGGAGUUGAAGGUUGCAGUGAGCUGAGAUUGUGCCACUGCACUCCAGCCUGGGCAACAGAGUGAGACUCUGUCUCAA